rnacentral:lncRNA from 1 species
GUGGUAGUUUACUUCAGGCUUUGUCAUUCUAUAAUGAGUGAGGAAUGGGAGAUAAGACUUGGACAGUGAGUUCAGUAUUGCAUCUUUCCCAAGCUGCUCAUGCAGGAGAAAGUUGAGCUUGCUCAAAUGCUCCAUCAGCUCGAUCAUGUACAAUACAUGAUCAGUGACAGAGGCACCAUCCUGUAUUUUGGCAUUGAAGAUGGCACAACUAGUCUUGUGCCUCUCCACAUCAUC